AACGUACGCUGGCGGCACGCCUAACACAUGCAAGUCGAACGAAGUAGCAAUACUUAGUGGCAGACGGGUGAGUAACAUGUAGGUAUCUGCCCUUUGGCCUGGAAUAACACGAGGAAACUUGUGCUAAUACCGGAUAAGUCUUUACGGAGAAAGCUUUAUGCACCAUUGGAUGAGCCUGCACUUGAUUAGUUUGUUGGUGGGGUAAUGGCCUACCAAGACUGUGAUCAAUAGCUGAUUUGAGAGGAUGAUCAGCCACAUUGGGACUGAGACACGGCCCAAACUCCUACGGGAGGCAGCAGUGGGGAAUCUUGCACAAUGGAGGAAACUCUGAUGCAGCGAUGCCGCGUGAGUGAAGAAGGCCCUUGGGUUGUAAAGCUCUUUCGUCGGGGAAGAAAAUGACUGUACCCGAAUAAGAAGGUCCGGCUAACUUCGUGCCAGCAGCCGCGGUAAUACGAAGGGACCUAGCGUAGUUCGGAAUUACUGGGCUUAAAGAGUUCGUAGGUGGUUGAAAAAGUUAGUGGUGAAAUCCCAGAGCUUAACUCUGGAACUGCCAUUAAAACUUUUCAGCUAGAGUAUGAUAGAGGAAAGCAGAAUUUCUAGCGUAGAGGUGAAAUUCGUAGAUAUUAGAAAGAAUACCAAUUGCGAAGGCAGCUUUCUGGAUCAUUACUGACACUGAGGAACGAAAGCAUGGGUAGCGAAGAGGGUUAGAUACCCUCGUAGUCCAUGCCGUAAACGAUGUGUGUUAGACGUUGGAAAUUUAUUUUCAGUGUCGCAGGGAAACCGAUAAACACACCGCCUGGGGAGUACGACCGCAAGGUUAAAACUCAAAUGAAUUGACGGGGACCCGCACAAGUAGUGGAGCAUGUGGUUUAAUUCGAAGAUACGCGCAGA
rnacentral:rRNA from 1 species